UACGGAGGGUGCUAGCGUUGUUCGGAUUUACUGGGCGUAAAGCGCAUGCAGGCGGCCCUGCAAGCGGGAAGUGAAAUCCCGGGGUUCAACUCCGGAACGGCUUUCCGAACUGCAGGGCUAGAGUCUGGGAGAGGCGGGUGGAAUUCCUGGUGGAGCGGUGAAAUGCGUAGAUAUCAGGAGGAACACCGGUGGCGAAGGCGGCCCGCUGGAACAUGACUGACGCUCAGAUGCGAAAGCGUGGGGAGCAAACAGG
rnacentral:rRNA from 1 species